rnacentral:rRNA from 1 species
AUUGAACGCUGGCGGCAUGCCUUACACAUGCAAGUCGAACGGCAGCGCGGGAGCAAUCCUGGCGGCGAGUGGCGAACGGGUGAGUAAUGCAUCGGAACGUGCCCUGAAGUGGGGGAUAACGUAGCGAAAGUUACGCUAAUACCGCAUAUUCUGUGAGCAGGAAAGAGGGGGAUCGCAAGACCUCUUGCUUUAGGAGCGGCCGAUGUCGGAUUAGCUAGUUGGUGAGGUAAAGGCUCACCAAGGCGACGAUCCGUAGCGGGUCUGAGAGGAAGAUCCGCCACACUGGGACUGGGGAACGGCCCAAACACCUACGGGAGGCAGCAGUGGGGAAUUUUGGACAAGGGGGGCAAGCCUGAUCCAGCCAUGCCGCGUGAGUGAAGAAGGCCUUCGGGUUGUAAAGCUCUUUCGGCGGGGAAGAAAUUGCUUCGGCUAAUAUCCGGAGUAGAUGACGGUACCCGCAUAAGAAGCACCGGCUAACUACGUGCCAGCAGCCGCCGUAAAAC